UACGGGGGGGGUAAGCGUUGUUCGGAAUUACUGGGCGUAAAGGCUCGUAGGCGGCCAACUAAGUCAGGGGUGAAAGCCCAAGGCUCAACCUUGGAAUUGCCUUUGAUACUGAGGGCCUUGAGACCGGAAGAGGUCGGCGGAACUGCGAGUGUAGAGGUGAAAUUCGUAGAUAUUCGCAAGAACACCAGUGGCGAAGGCGGCCGACUGGUCCGGUUCUGACGCUGAGGCGCGAAAGCGUGGGGAGCAACAGGAGUAAGA
rnacentral:rRNA from 1 species